AAGCCCUUUUCCCAGGGACGAUGGUGACGGUACCUGGGGAAUCAGCCCCGGCUAACUACGUGCCAGCAGCCGCGGUAAUACGUAGGGGGCAAGCGUUGUCCGGAUUUAUUGGGCGUAAAGCGCUCGCAGGUGGCCCGAUGCGUCGUGCGUGAAAGACCCCGGCUCAACUGGGGGGCGUCGUGCGAUACGGUCGGGCUGGAGGCCAGUAGGGGGAUGCGGAAUUCCGGGUGUAGUGGUGGAAUGCGUAGAGAUCCGGAGGAACACCAGCGGCGAAGGCGGCAUCCUGGACUGGUCCUGACACUCAGGAGCGAAAGCGUGGGGAGCGAUCCGGAUUAGAUACCCGGGUAGUCCACGCCGUAAACGAUGAGCACUAGGUGUCGGGGGUAUCGACCCCCUCGGUGCCGCAGCCAACGCGAUAAGUGCUCCGCCUGGGGACUACGGCCGCAAGGCUAAAACUCAAAGGAAUUGACGGGGGCCCGCACAAGCAGCGGAGCAUGUGGUUUAAUUCGACGCAACGCGAAGAACCUUACCAAGGCUUGACAUGCACUGGAAAGCUCUAGAAAUAGGGCCUCCCUUCGGGGCCAGUGCACAGGUGGUGCAUGGCUGUCGUCAGCUCGUGU
rnacentral:rRNA from 1 species